rnacentral:rRNA from 1 species
UGGAGCAUGUGGUUUAAUUCGAAGCAACGCGAAGAACCUUACCAGGUCUUGACAUCCCGAUGCUAUUUCUAGAGAUAGAAAGUUACUUCGGUACAUCGGUGACAGGUGGUGCAUGGUUGUCGUCAGCUCGUGUCGUGAGAUGUUGGGUUAAGUCCCGCAACGAGCGCAACCCCUAUUGUUAGUUGCCAUCAUUCAGUUGGGCACUCUAGCGAGACUGCCGGUAAUAAACCGGAGGAAGGUGGGAUGACGUCAAAUCAUCAUGCCCCUUAUGUUCUGGGCUACACACGUGCUACAAUGGCCGGUACAGACGGACGCAAAGCCGCGAGGUGGAGCAAAUCCUAAAAAGCCGGUCUCAGUUCGGAUUGCAGGCUGCAAUUCGCCUGCAUGAAGUCGGAAUCGCUAGUAAUCGCAGGUCAGCAUACUGCGGUGAAUACGUUCCCGGGCCUU